rnacentral:lncRNA from 1 species
GUGUGAUCGUUGUGACAUAGAGCCGAUUGUUGGCACCAGGUGGCACUUUACUGACUGUCCUCCAGACAUCGCCGUAGAUUUCUGUGAACAGUGCGUUGACUGUGGAUAUGAAACAAAGACACACAACUCUAGUCACAGAUUGAAACCUAAGAGAGCUACAGACAGUUCCACGUAUAUGGACUCAGACUAUAUAGGGUUUAUUCCGGGAGGUGCUUGUACAGGAUAUAAUUACUUGGAUCCGAACUAUAUGCCAGCAAGUUGACACUGAUUCAGCAGAUUGUUGUGUUUAUUGGAACUGAGAGACCUGCAAAUACAUUGUGAAAAGUGAAUUGGUCAGGGUAAAAAUAAUGAUGUUAAGGAAAAAAGAAACUCGUUUUUUUUCAGACUUUUUUUAUAGCAGAGGGUUCAACAAAAUGUGCAGAAUAAAAAGUUUUUUGAAUGAAUGUUGUAAAUUUAUGUUAAUUUUAGAAUAAAAUAUUCACAAAGAA